GGGCCUGUAGCUCAGGUGGUUAGAGCGCACCCCUGAUAAGGGUGAGGUCGGAAGUUCGAGUCUUCCCAGGCCCACCA
rnacentral:tRNA from 1 species